rnacentral:tRNA from 1 species
GUGUCAUUAGCUCAGAUGGUAGAGCACCUGACUCUUAAUCAGGGUGUCCAGGGUUCGAUCCCCUGAUGACGCACCA